GACGAACGCUGGCGGCGUGCUUAACACAUGCAAGUCGAACGGUAAGGCCCUUCGGGGUACGACGAGUGGCGAACGGGUGAGUAACACGUGGUGAUCUGCCCUGCACUUCGGGAUAAGCCUGGGAAACUGGGUCUAAUACCGGAUAGGACCAUGGACUUCACGGUUUGUGGUGGAAAGCUUUUGCGGUGUGGGAUGGGCCCGCGGCCUAUCAGCUUGUUGGUGGGGUAAAUGGCCUACCCAAGGCGACGACGGGUAGCCGGCCUGAGAGGGUGUCCGGCCACACUGGGACUGAGAUACGGCCCAGACUCCUACGGGAGGCAGCAGUGGGGAAUAUUGCACAAUGGGCGCAAGCCUGAUGCAGC
rnacentral:rRNA from 1 species